GGCUGCUGGCACGUAGUUAGCCGGUGCUUAUUCUUCAGGUACCGUCAUKACUCCRAGGUAUUARRCCCGGRGCKUUUCUUCCCUGACAAAAGCGGUUUACAACCCGAAGGCCUUCUUCCCGCACGCGGCAUGGCUGGAUCAGGCUUGCSCCCAUUGUCCAAAAUUCCCCACUGCUGCCUCCCGUAGGAGUCUGGGCCGUGUCUCAGUCCCAGUGUGGCUG
rnacentral:rRNA from 1 species